rnacentral:sRNA from 1 species
GAGCGGGAAGCAUUGGCGUCCGAGCGACUUCUAGAGCCUGGGGUUCGGCGCUAUGGAGGAGCUCGAUGGCGAGCCAACAGUCACUAAAAAUCAGAGAUGGUGCCAAGUUGCCCCUUUAUCUAUAUCAUCCGUAAGGAUGUAGAUGUUUACUCUCAAAUCUUGAGAAAACUCUUCAAUGAAUCCCAUGGAAUCUUUCUGGGCCUCCAGAGAAUUGACGAAGAGUUGACUGGAAAAUCCAGAAAAUCUCAAUUGGUUCGAGUGAGUAAAAACUACCGAUCAGUCAUCAGAGCAUGUAUGGAGGAAAUGCACCAGGUUGCAAUUGCUGCUAAAGAUCCAGCCAAUGGCCGCCAGUUCAGCAGCCAGGUCUCCAUUUUGUCAGCAAUGGAGCUCAUCUGGAACCUGUGUGAGAUUCUUUUUAUUGAAGUGGCCCCAGCUGGCCCUCUCCUCCUCCAUCUCCUUGACUGGGUCCGGCUCCAUGUGUGCGAGGUGGACAGUUUGUCGGCAGAUGUUCUGGGCAGUGAGAAUCCAAGCAAACAUGACAGCUUCUGGAACUUGGUGACCAUCUUGGUGCUGCAGGGCCGGCUGGAUGAGGCCCGACAGAUGCUCUCCAAGGAAGCUGAUGCCAGCCCCGCCUCUGCAGGCAUAUGCCGAAUCAUGGGGGACCUGAUGAGGACAAUGCCCAUUCUCAGUCCCGGGAACACCCAGACACUGACAGAGCUGGAGCUGAAGUGGCAGCACUGGCAUGAGGAAUGUGAGCGGUACCUCCAGGACAGCACAUUCGCCACCAGCCCUCACCUGGAGUCUCUCUUGAAGAUUAUGCUGGGAGACGAAGCUGCCUUGUUAGAGCAGAAGGAACUUCUGAGUAAUUGGUAUCAUUUCCUAGUGACUCGGCUCUUGUACUCCAAUCCCACAGUAAAACCCAUUGAUCUGCACUACUAUGCCCAGUCCAGCCUGGACCUGUUUCUGGGAGGUGAGAGCAGCCCAGAACCCCUGGACAACAUCUUGUUGGCAGCCUUUGAGUUUGACAUCCAUCAAGUAAUCAAAGAGUGCAGGGAUGUUUAUUUAAAAUAACAUUGCGGGAAAUUACUUUGACAUUUAAAAUCUAGAAAAAGCCAGCAAGCCUGUUUCUUGGCACCUAAUGGACACAUAGUCACCUUAUGGGAUGGCGUGUUCCAAGAGUCUCACUCCAGUGACGUGAGCUACCGAACCACUGGGCUUCAGGCUGGGUAUUAUUCAGAAUUUCCAGCCCUCUAUCCAAAAGAGGGUGUUCUAUGAUUGCACUGAAUCUUUAGCA